UAAAUUUGUAAAAUUGUUGUCUCAAACGUUAUACAAAUCUAGAUUAAAAUCUCCACAAAGUAUAAUGGAUACCUCAUAGAUGUCUACAGAAUAUCUGAAAUUCAGUUUAUACAAGAAGGGGAAGGUACAGAAAAAACUCCUGAUUCGAAACAUUUAUUUCUUGUUCCAUCAAUUUAAUACAUACCACACGAAAAAUAAACACCAACCAAUAGCACUCAAAGGUGAAAGAGGGCACUAUCGUUGUGAAAUUGUAUUGUACUGUACACAACAUUCUGCAAAAAUAACUGCACACCCACGACUAUUGUAAAAGUGCUAAGCCUAAAUAAAUAAUACAUUUUUGAAUUAUUUACAAAACAUCCUAAUCCUAAAAAAA